GCCUGCUGUGCGUGUCUGUCGUACAACAAGUGUCACGCAAGUGGGAUCUUGACUUCCUGAGCCGUGUCGAUGACCGGGUCCUCUCCCGCAUGACGACAUCCGACCCGCAUGACGACAUCAAGCUGGGAGAGAAGACCCUCUCCAAUCGAGACCCAUGAAGGUUGAGGGUGAACAUGCUGGGCGGAGACACGUCCAGCUUCAGUAGCAUGACGUUUUCAGCCUGGUAACACGCACGCGCACACACCAUCAGAUGAUAGUAUUACAUUUCAUAUUUUGUCUGUGCAAGCACCAAGCGCUGACCUGAUAUCUGGACGGGGCUCCUGUUGCCGUGGCGACGGCCGCUUGUGCAUGCUGGCUGAUUGGACGCUUGUAUCCCACGGCGGACAGAGGCCUUCGCUUCACUCGAGUGGCCGUGCUAGUGUGCACAUGUGGGCAAUACGGGAUGCGGUUUUCUCCAUGGUACCUUUCCAAUGGGAUGACCGACAUCAGCCUCCACUGAUCUUCCUCGUCGUCAAAGUGAAGUCUGUUGAUCAGCUUCUUCUUUUCGGCAGGGGGGACAAAGUUCUCCAUCAAUAGGG